GCCAGCUUGACUGCGAGCGUGACGGCGCGAGCAGGUGCGAAAGCAGGUCAUAGUGAUCCGGUGGUUCUGAAUGGAAGGGCCAUCGCUCAACGGAUAAAAGGUACUCCGGGGAUAACAGGCUGAUACCGCCCAAGAGUUCAUAUCGACGGCGGUGUUUGGCACCUCGAUGUCGGCUCAUCACAUCCUGGGGCUGAAGUAGGUCCCAAGGGUAUGGCUGUUCGCCAUUUAAAGUGGUACGCGAGCUGGGUUUAGAACGUCGUGAGACAGUUCGGUCCCUAUCUGCCGUGGGCGCUGGAGAACUGAGGGGGGCUGCUCCUAGUACGAGAGGACCGGAGUGGACGCAUCACUGGUGUUCGGGUUGUCAUGCCAAUGGCACUGCCCGGUAGCUAAAUGCGGAAGAGAUAAGUGCUGAAAGCAUCUAAGCACGAAACUUGCCCCGAGAUGAGUUCUCCCUGACCCUUUAAGGGUCCUGAAGGAACGUUGAAGACGACGACGUUGAUAGGCCGGGUGUGUAAGCGCAGCGAUGCGUUGAGCUAACCGGUACUAAUGAACCGUGAGG
rnacentral:rRNA from 1 species